rnacentral:rRNA from 1 species
CAGCCGUAAACUAUGCGCGUUAGGUGUAUCGGUGACCACGAGUUACCGAGGUGCCGAAGGGAAACCGUGAAACGUGCCGCCUGGGAAGUACGGUCGCAAGGCUGAAACUUAAAGGGAAUUGGGCGGGGGAGCACCACAACGGGUGGAGCCUGCGGUUUAAUUGGACUCAACGCCGGGAAGCUCACCGGAUAAGACAGCGGAAUGAUUGCCGGGCUGAAGACUCUGCAUGACUAGCUGAGAGGAGGUGCAUGGCGUAGACGUCU